GUGCCAGCAGCCGCGGUAAUACCGGCGCCUCAAGUGGUAGUCGCUUUUAUUGGGCCUAAAAACGUCCGUAGCCGGUUUGGUACAUUCGUGGGUAAAUCAAGGCGCUCAACGUCUUGAAUUCUGCGAGCACGGCCAGACUUGGGACCGGGUGAGGUGUGGGGUACUCUCAGGGUAGGGGUAAAAUCCUGUCAUCCUGAGAGGACCACCUGUUGCGAAGGCGCCACACUAGAACGGAUCCGACGGUCAGGGACGAAGCCUAGGGGCACGAACCGGAUUAGAUACCCGGGUAGUCCUAGGUGUAAACGCUGUGGACUUGAUGUCGGGAGUGCUCCGAGCACCCUCAGUGUCGAAGCGAAGGUGAUAAGUCCACUGCCUGGGGAGUACGGUCGCAAGGCUGAAACUUAAAUGAAUUGGCGG
rnacentral:rRNA from 1 species